rnacentral:rRNA from 1 species
UACAGAGGUCUCAAGCGUUGUUCGGAUUCAUUGGGCGUAAAGGGUGCGUAGGUGGCGCCGUAAGUCGGGUGUGAAAUUUCGGAGCUUAACUCCGAAACUGCAUUCGAUACUGCGGUGCUUGAGGACUGGAGAGGAGACUGGAAUUCAUGGUGUAGCAGUGAAAUGCGUAGAGAUCAUGAGGAAGACCAGUGGCGAAGGCGGGUCUCUGGACAGUUCCUGACACUCAACUACGAAAGCGUGGGGAGCGAACCGG